rnacentral:tRNA from 1 species
UUGAUUGUGGUAAAUUGAUAGCCCUACUGACUUCUAAUCCGUAGGUCGCAGGUUCGAAUCCUGCCGGGCGUA